AGAGAGAGACAUGCGCGCAUAUCAAUAAGCGGAGGAAAAGAAACUAACAAGGAUUCCCUUAGUAACGGCGAGUGAAGCGGGAAGAGCUCAAAUUUGAAAUCUUCAAGGUUUUACCUUGACGAAUUGUAGUUUAAAGAAGUGUUUUCCUGCUGAAGUUUUGGUAAAAGUUCUUUGGAAUAGGACAUCAUAGAGGGUGAGAAUCCCGUAUUUGACCAUUAUUUUCAGCUUUGUGAUACACUUUCAAAGAGUCGGAUUGUUUGGGAAUGCAGUCCAAAAUGGGUGGUACAUUUCAUCUAAAGCUAAAUAUUGGCGAGAGACCGAUAGCGAACAAGUACCGUGAGGGAAAGAUGAAAAGAACCUUGAAAAGAGAGUUAAACAGUACGUGAAAUUGUCAAAAGGGAAGCGUUUGACACCAGUGUUGUUUUCUCGAAAAUCCAAUUAAAAAUGGCUCGAUUUUGUAUUGCUUGAGACCUUAAAAGCUCACUGUACAUUUUUCGUGUCUUUUUUAAUGCACUUUUCGUUUAACAAGUCAACAUCAGUUUCUUUUGUUGUAAAAGGGUCAUUAGAAGGUGGCUUUCUUUUCGGAGAAAGUGUUUAUAGCCUUUGGCCUCUGCAAUCGGAGAGACUGAGGUCUGCAGCGUAGACUCUUCGGGGUUAGAUACAUUUGUGCUAAGUUAUAGCUUUUUAUAGACAACUUGUUGACUAUAAUUAGUCUUGUAGCUUACUCGCUUAUGCUAUUUUACCUACGCUUAGGAUGUUGAAGAUGUAGCACAUCAU
rnacentral:rRNA from 1 species